AACGAACGCUGGCGGCAUGCCUAACACAUGCAAGUCGAACGAGACCUUCGGGUCUAGUGGCGCACGGGUGCGUAACGCGUGGGAACCUGCCUUUAGGUUCGGAAUAACUCAGAGAAAUUUGAGCUAAUACCGGAUGAUGUCUUCGGACCAAAGAUUUAUCGCCUUUAGAUGGGCCCGCGUUGGAUUAGCUUGUUGGUGGGGUAAAGGCCUACCAAGGCGACGAUCCAUAGCUGGUCUGAGAGGAUGAUCAGCCACACUGGGACUGAGACACGGCCCAGACUCCUACGGGAGGCAGCAAUGGGGAAUAUUGGACAAUGGGCGAAAGCCUGAUCCAGCAAUGCCGCGUGAGUGAUGAAGGCCUUAGGGUUGUAAAGCUCUUUUACCCGAGAUGAUAAUGACAGUAUCGGGAGAAUAAGCACCGGCUAACUCCGUG
rnacentral:rRNA from 1 species